GUGGAGGAAUCGCUGUCUCUCUAUGGAAGAGCAGAAUGAUGCUGUAAAGGAGAACACAGUAGUGGGAUGGAGACUUCCUUGAUCCAUGGGCUAGCCAUCUUGACUGCUUCUGGACAAGCGUUAAUGCUCGUUUCCUGUCCUCUCUUGUCUGUGCCAACCAGCAUAAGUGUCCCUGCCAGGCCGCAGCAGCUGGGCUGGCCACUCGAGUCAGCAAGCAAUGGCUAACUGCUUGCUCGCUCCUUCCCCAGACUGCUGUAGCAGAAGGCUUUUCUGCUCACCUCCUUCUGGCCUAACAUCAGCGUCUUCUAGGAGCAAAUUUCAACAUUGAAAGUUUCAGCACAGUAACUCUCAGGAAGCACUCCCUGCAUCUGGCUGCAGCCUGGGAGUAUUGUAUAACUGUCCGAUUACAAAUAUGGAAAUAAUAUCAGCCUAAAUAUUUUGACAGUAAAAACAGCGAGCUGAUUGAAAUGGUAAGGUACCGUACCAACUAUAAUGUUCUACAGGCUCUUGGUAUAAACAUUUACUAUUUGCUAAAUGUCAGAAGAAGGCUCAGCCUGGUUUCCAACUUGGAACAUAUCCUGAGCAAAACACAGCCAGAAGCUGACAACUGCGCCGCGUACACCAUGGCUUUCCAGCACGAUACUGGGCAGCACGGUAGAAGAUUUCCCCCAGACUGUUGCCAUCACAGUCAGGAACAGGCUCUCUUUCUUUUCCCCACGAGUCACCCCCAACUGAACGGCACGUCUUGGUGGACAUCCCAGUACCCGGAGGUCCCGAAGGCAGAGCCAGGCUCCUCUGGUGCUGGCAGAAGCGCAGAGGCAGCACCAGAGGCUGCAACACGGGAAAUCCCAACAGGCACAAAGGGAAAAAGUCCUUCCUUGUGCUGGCCACUGGCCGGAACGGCACCUGGAGGGGCCAUUCUCGGGGAGACAUCCUCCAGCCAUAGCAGGACCCAGUGCAGGGCAGCCAGAUCCCAACUUGAAGCUGGUCCUGCUCCACCUGAGCGCUUCCACCUGAAGCAUUCUGUGCACCUACAAAAGCUCCGUUGCCUGCCAGAACAUCAGCUCCUCUUUCAGCUGAGAAAAUGGUGGUUUGGUUGAGAUGGGAAUGUUUUUUUCUGUGGGGUCACUGGCACGUCAAAACCUUUGAAACAGCCAAAAGUUUCUGAUAGUUUUAUGCUACUGCACAGUUGAGAAAUGAAUAAUCCAUUAUUCAUUUGGUUAUCUUCAAGCAAAG
rnacentral:lncRNA from 1 species